ensembl:lncRNA
AUUGUUUCAACCUUUAUUAAACAUAGCUUGCAAGAGAUAAAUAUUACAAAGUUAUUUCCUCCAAAAUUAGCUUAUUUUUUCAAUCAAUGCAUAAUUGUCAAUCAACUGGCAGUAUUCAAACAGCAUUAUUUUCUUCUACUUUUUUGAAGACCAUUAAAUAUCAAGUAUGUGCAAAAGGUCAGGAUUGAUGUAAGCAAAACUAAAAUGACUCAAAUAGUCUCUGGUCAGCAUCAUCAUUUGUUUUUGAUUCCCAGGAUGUUUAUUUCAAUGUUGUCAACACUAUGCAAAAUGCUUCUACAUGAAAAUUGAUAUAACUGAUUUUGCACUUAAAUCUUUCCCUGCAUUAGCAACAACAACUAAUAGAAUAUAAAGCCAAACAGUACAGGACCAUACAUGUUGUAUGCUGGUGUUGGCAGAAAAAGUGAUCACUGAUUCAGAGCGAACCCUUCACAGGUGAAGCAGGUCGGACCAGGAAACACCUACUGUGAGAGCUUAUUGGCAAAGUCUGACAUACGCGGUUAUAUUCAGUAGACUAUUUUAUGCCAAAAACACAAUAGUGUUACCCCUAGAAUUACAUAUUUCUUAGUGAGGAAAGAAAACAAAAUAGAAAUAGCAUGUAAACAAUGCUAAAAAGCUAGAAUCCUCUUGAAACUUUAUUUGGAUUCUGUCAAUGAUUUUCUGUGUUUAAGCCACUAAUUACCAAUCAUGAUUACUGACCAUUUGUCACUGUCCAUUCAUCAAGUCAAUGAUUUUUUUUGUAUGUUUUAGGAAUCAAUUUCCAUCCUUUGUGCUGCUUACAGUACCACCAGAUGACUUUCCAGAAUCAGUGUCCUUGUUAGAUUUUUCUGUUGAAGAAUCUGUCCCGUGUGUUUGUUGAUUAUUUAUUAACACUGGAACUCUAGAAAUCAUUGAUUUGGAAAUGACUUGUUAUUGUAUCUUACAUCACAAUCAAUUUAGCAUGUACAGCGCAGCAGAGCAACUUUCAGUGGCCGUAGAAAGUCAUUGGCUGCUUGAAUAUGUGGACAUAAGAAAGUGGUCGGCGGUAAUGACUUGCAGCGAACAUCCAAACACUCCAAGGCGUCAGUUUGACUCUGAAUCAAUCAGUUAAGGAGGGUUCAUCUAAUCCAAACAUUCAAAGUGCUUUAAUCUAGAACUUGUUCAGGAAACAAUUCUGUAAGGAACAAAGUUAUUUCAAGCUGCAAAAAUUCAACAGUAGACAAAUGUGUUUCAGACCUGCAGAUUCGAUCACUCUGAACCAGUCAUCACUCCUCUGCAAACGUUAACUAGUCCAAAAUUAAAGCCAAUGCAUCCAGCGAGACUGCUUUAAGAAGCAGAGGGGGGGGGGGAAGAAUCCCAAACAUUUUGCACAUUUGUUACACAAUAAUACACAGUGAUCACAAAACGAAAUGACAAGCUUCACAAUAUUCAUGGCUUUUUGUUUGCUUUUCUACACAAUGUACAACCAUUUAAUUUCUUUUUUCAGUACAAGGGAGGAAAAAAUGCUUAUUUACAAUAAGUCAUUAUUACUUCAAACCUAGCAAAUAUCGUGUCAUUUAUUUCAUAGUCAAUACAUUUAUUUAGUUUUUUAAACUGCAAUAGAAACAAAACAGAACUCAAAUGGGACAUCAGAAUAACAAUGACUUUUGAAAUCUAAGAAUUAAUAUUUGAAAAGAAUCUGUAGUCCAAAUACAAAGGUGU